rnacentral:rRNA from 1 species
GGUGAGCGGCGGACGGGUGAGUAACGCGUGGGAACGUGCCCUUUGGUACGGAACAACUGAGGGAAACUUCAGCUAAUACCGUAUGUGCCCUUCGGGGGAAAGAUUUAUCGCCAUUGGAGCGGCCCGCGUUGGAUUAGGUAGUUGGUGAGGUAAAGGCUCACCAAGCCUACGAUCCAUAGCUGGUCUGAGAGGAUGAUCAGCCACACUGGGACUGAGACACGGCCCAGACUCCUACGGGAGGCAGCAGNNGGGAAUCUUGCGCAAUGGGCGAANGCCUGACGCAGCCGUGCCGCGUGAAUGAUGA